AAUCUCUUAUAGGCACCUCAUUGUCUCACCGUACUUCUAUCGUCUCUUCUACUCUGUCGUAACGAUACUCCCUCUUCCAUAACAUCAACCGACGCGGCCAUAUCUGAUCGUUCUCUUCUCUUCGAUCUUUUGCUUGAUCUCUUCACCACUGUUGCCUAUCGCUCUGUAUCUUCAUUGUUGAGUGUAUAAUCUACUACAGCUUUGAUCUAUUUAUAUUGUUUCGAAAGAAAAGGCAUAUCAUACCCAAAAUGUUAUCAUAAAGACAAAUUGCAGCUAAUAAAUGGGAUGCUGUGAAGAAAAUUAUUAUUCUAGAGAGUGUACAAACACUUAAAGUGAGACCGAGUAUGGAAAGUCGAAAAGAAAAACUGUUUAGGAUUUGGAGCAAUAUGAGUAAAUGACACAAAUGUAUAAAACCAGCACGGACAAGCUUGACAUAGCUUAAUUCCCUGAGUAAAGCGAUGUCUUUAGUAAUUCGUUCAUAUUUUGUAUUCUUAUGGAUAUGUUGGUUUUUUUUUAUAAUUUAUUAGUUGGUUUUUAAUAGACAAGCCAUUGUUAGAUGUAAUGGAAAUGCUAUGCAUGGAUGUAUUUAAUAGUUUCUCUUUUUUUUUAUAGACAAGCCCUAUGGAUAUAUGUAUACAAUGUGUAAUGGAUGUAUUUUAUUUGAAAUAAUUAAUUGAAUUAUUUUUUAAGUUUUUACUA